rfam:Ipomoea nil DNA, scaffold: scaffold2283, cultivar: Tokyo-kokei standard.
GUGGGCGUGCCGGAGUGGUUAUCGGGCAUGAUUGGAAAUCAUGUGGGCUUUGCCUGUGUAGGUUUCAAUCUUGUAGCUCAUG